ACGGAAGGCAGCAGUGGGGGAUAUUGCACAAUGGAGGAAACUCUGAUGCAGCAACGCCGCGUGAGGGAAGAAGGUUUUCGGAUUGUAAACCUCUGUUUUUAGUGAGGAAACAAAUGACGGUAGCUAAAGAGGAAGCCACGGCUAACUACGUGCCAGCAGCCGCGGUAAUACGUAGGUGGCAAGCGUUGUCCGGAAUUACUGGGUGUAAAGGGAGCGCAGGCGGGACUGCAAGUUGGAUGUGAAAUACCGAGGCUUAACUUCGGGGCUGCAUCCAAAACUGUAGUUCUUGAGUGAAGUAGAGGUUGGCGGAAUUCCGAGUGUAGCGGUGAAAUGCGUAGAUAUUCGGAGGAACACCAGUGGCGAAGGCGGCCAACUGGGCUUUAACUGACGCUGAGGCUCGAAAGUAUGGGGAGCAAACAGGAUUAGAUACCCUGGUA
rnacentral:rRNA from 1 species